GUGCCAGCAGCCGCGGUAAUACGUAGGGGGCAAGCGUUGUCCGGAUUUAUUGGGCGUAAAGAGCGUGUAGGCGGCCUGGAAGGUCAGCUGUGAAAACUCGAGGCUCAACCUCGAGACGUCGGUUGAAACCACCUGGCUAGAGUCCGGAAGAGGAGAGUGGAAUUCCCGGUGUAGCGGUGAAAUGCGCAGAUAUCGGGAAGAACACCCGUGGCGAAGGCGGCUCUCUGGGACGGUACUGACGCUGAGACGCGAAAGCGUGGGGAGCGAACAGGAUUAGAUACCCUGGUAGUCC
rnacentral:rRNA from 1 species